GGAUGUGAGGGCGAUCUGGCUGCGACAUCUGUCACCCCAUUGAUCGCCAGGGUUGAUUCGGCUGAUCUGGCUGGCUAGGCGGAUGUCCCCUUCCUCCCUCACCGCUCCAUGUGCGUCCCUCCCGAAGCUGCGCGCUCGGUCAAAGAGGACGACCACCCCCCAUAGAGGAGGACCGUUUCCUCGGUCAGGGGUAUACGAGUAGCUGCGCUCCCCUGCUAGAACCUCCAAACAAGCUCUCAAAGGAGAUUGCUUGUCCAAUUAAUCUGAGUUUGAAUUUCCUAAAGCUUUUCCCCCUCAACCUUAUAGCUCUUA
rnacentral:snRNA from 1 species